UACGUAGGGUCCGAGCGUUGUCCGGAAUUACUGGGCGUAAAGAGCUCGUAGGUGGUUGUCGCGUUGUUCGUGAAAACUCACAGCUCAACUGUGGGCGUGCGGGCGAUACGGGGCAGACUAGAGUACUGCAGGGGAGACUGGAAUUCCUGGUGUAGCGGUGGAAUGCGCAGAUAUCAGGAGGAACACCGGUGGCGAAGGCGGGUCUCUGGGCAGUAACUGACGCUGGAGGAGCGAAAGCGUGGGGAGCGAACAGG
rnacentral:rRNA from 1 species